rnacentral:rRNA from 1 species
AAGGACGGCCAUAGUAAUGGUGAAACGCCUGUUCCCAUUCCGAACACAGAAGCUAAGCCCAUUACGUCCGUUGUGUUAGUCUCCCACAAGAGGCGAAGCGCGGAUGCUGUCUUUC